rnacentral:rRNA from 1 species
GUGUCAGCCGCCGCGGUAAUACGAAGGGGGCUAGCGUUGCUCGGAAUUACUGGGCGUAAAGGGAGCGUAGGCGGACUGUUUAGUCAGAGGUGAAAGCCCAGGGCUCAACCUUGGAAUUGCCUUUGAUACUGGCAGUCUUGAGUACGGAAGAGGUAUGUGGAACUCCGAGUGUAGAGGUGAAAUUCGUAGAUAUUCUGAAGAACACCAGUGGCGAAGGCGACAUACUGGUCCGUUACUGACGCUGAGGCUCGAAAGCGUGGGGAGCAAACAGGAUUAGAUACCCUGGUAGUCCACGCCGUAAACGAUGAGUGCUAGUUGUCGGCAUGCAUGCAUGUCGGUGACGCAGCUAACGCAUUAAGCACUCCGCCUGGGGAGUACGGUCGCAAGAUUAAAACUUAAAGGAAUUGACGG